CCCAUGAGCAGGAUGAAGCGAAAGUAAAAUUUCGUGGAGGUCCGAACCCACGAGCGUUGAAAAGCUCGGGGAUGACUUGUGGGUAGCGGUGAAAUUCCAAUCGAGCACGGAGAUAGCUGGUUCUCACCGAAAUAGCUUUAGGGCUAGCCUCAAGGUGAGAGAUACGGAGGUAGAGCACUGAAUGUCCUAGGGGGUAUUGCACCUACCGAAGAAUAUCAAACUCCGAAUGCCGUCAUCUUAUACUUGGGAGGCAGACUGUGGGUGAUAAGAUUCAUAGUCGAAAGGGCAACAGACCAGAUCGUCAGCUACAGUCGCUAAAUGUACGUUCAGCGGUAGAGGAUGUGGGAUAGCCUAACCAACCAGGACGUGUGGUCAGCAG
rnacentral:rRNA from 1 species